UCCGGCGUUUGAUGUUACACCUGCUAAUCUAAUUUUUGGGAUCAUCGCUGAGAAGGGUGUCAUUACAAAGACUAACGCUAAUGAUUGUUUUUGACAUAAACGUUUUUGUACAGAAAACAGGUUGAGGGUCGAACUUAUUCAAUAAAUAAUCUUUGGUUAUGAAGAGCAAAACACAUUGCAGCAAUUGUAAUCCUCCAUGAGCAUAGUCCGUAGCAUUCCAAUUCAUCACCACGACAUGUCCUCCUGCAAGCAUCAAACAACACGGUUACAUUUCGAUAAUCUCAGGGAAAGUGUAUAUGCUAUUCAAGUGAAAGACACUGCAUUAAAUAAGCUUCUUACCAGCAGUAAAAAUUCUUGGAGUUGAAAAGGACGGAAGAGAGGGACCACCAACUGGGGAUGAGGACAAAAAUCCCAAGGCAUUUUCCCACGCUCCACUACUCUGAAAACACAGCAGAGGGAGGAGAUGAGUCAUAUAUAAGAGAGGCCACUGUUCGUAAAGAGAGAGCCGAAAAACCCUAAUUCUUUAGAGGAGCUGCUACUGUUUACCAACAAAAAAGAGGUCGACGGCAAGGAGAAAAGAAAACCAUAGUUUUUCUUGGUGGUGAAGAACGGACAAGAAGAUCAAAGACCGGUUCAAACGAAACCUUACCUACAUCCGUCCGUCAAUCUCGCCGCAACCGGUGAGAUUUGGAUAACAAAGUAGUUCUAGUCUAGUGGCAGAAAUAUUAUUUGGUAAAUCCUAGGUUCUGGGUUUGAUCCUUGGGUUCUAGCAUUUCUUAUUUUUAACAUAUUUUCUAUUUCCUAUUAGUUUUUUUAUUAUUAUUACCAUUUUUUUAUUAUUUUAAACCUUUUAUUUAUUUUUUAUUUUUUUCUCUUUUUUUUAAACACUUGUUGAUUUUAAUGUUUGUCCUUGAUUUAUUGUUUAAACAUCGAUUUUUAAUUUAUGGAUUUGGCAAUUUUCUUGUUAUUUAUCCAUGAUUAUUUUUAUCGAUAUAUUGAUAGUAUUUCACCACGUUUUGAUUAAUCGCAUAUGACAUUUCAAUUAUUGUCAACAUGCGCAAACCGGCUUUGAGCACAUUAUUUAGGUUUUGUGUGUCCCUCAAUUUCCAUCCGUGCAAAUCUCGAUUUUACCUUUUUUCUAUUUAAUUUUUAAGUUUGUUGUAAAUAUAACUUGUUGUGUUAUUUUCUUCACAUGGCUUACUCUUGGGCCUUCUUACAAUGAGACAGUUCUCUUGCACUUACACUCAUACAUCGCAUUGUUUGUUGUUUGGGGCCCGAUUUAAAUUUCAUUACUUUGAAUUCCCAUUCGAUAAAAUGUACCCCCACUCCCCUGGCAUGUAAUAAUUUUACUGUUUUAUUC